rnacentral:rRNA from 1 species
GACGAACGCUGGCGGCGUGCUUAACACAUGCAAGUCGAACGGAAAGGCCCUGCUUUUGUGGGGUGCUCGAGUGGCGAACGGGUGAGUAACACGUGAGUAACCUGCCCUUGACUUUGGGAUAACUUCAGGAAACUGGGGCUAAUACCGGAUAGGAGCUCCUGCUGCAUGGUGGGGGUUGGAAAGUUUCGGCGGUUGGGGAUGGACUCGCGGCGUAUCAGCUUGUUGGUGGGGUAGUGGCUUACCAAGGCUUUGACGGGUAGCCGGCCUGAGAGGGUGACCGGCCACAUUGGGACGGAGAUGCGGCCCAGACUCCUACGGGAGGCAGCGGUGGAGAAUAUUGCACAAUGGGCGGAGGCCUGGUGCAGCAACGCCACGUGCGGGAAGAGGGCCUUCGGGUUGUAUACCACUUUCGCCUGUGACGAGGCGUGAGUGACGGUACCUGCAGAAGAAGCACCGGCUAACUACGUG